CGGGCCUCUGCUCCUCCUCACUGGCAGAUUCUUCCUAUGACUGAUGAUUUGUUAUGAUGGCCUUGUUAUGCCAACGACAUCGACAGAGACCCAUUCUGUUCGACGCUCACAGGCUGUUUUUCAAGGGUUCUUCAUCUUCCAAACGCCACCGAAUCCUCCUGCUUCUGCCCGGGCCAGUGAGGGGCCCAGCCCGCAGAGAGGGAGCGGCUCCGGGAGACCCUCAGCCUGCCGCCUGGUGGCCCAGGAGCCCACCCCCACCUGCACGCCUCCCGAGGAGCCCUGUCUCGCCCUCGAACCUGUCAGGGCUGAGGCGGGCUGCAAGUCACAGCUGCAGGCUCUGUUGCUUGGCCCUGACUCAGUUUCCACCCAGACGUCCUCUCCCUACCCCUCGGGCCUUCCUACACUUUCAUGGGCCUCCCAGUCAGCAGCCUAAAGGGAUGCCCCUGCCCUUCCCGCCCCAGGGCAGAGGAGCCCAGCGCUGGCAGCUCUGAAUAAGAGCACGGGGGCUGCGUGGGCGCGGUGGGGGUGUGGGGACUGGCCCCUGCCCAGAGCCCCCUGGGGGCUUCGCACCUUCCUCCCUGGGACAGCCCUGUCGCUCAGGAUGAGAGGACCCCGUUUCUCUCGGAGGACAGGACAGACGUGAAGGGUUUUGCAGAGCUGCUUCAAAGUGAUGGUGAUGGUGAUAAUGCUAUAAUGAUAAUUACCAUUAUUAUAGCAUGAUCACGACUGGCAUUGACCCAAAAUGUCUACGCAAAUAAUCCAUAACCAGCCUAUCAGUGAAAACUGGGGUGAGUUUAUCAGGAGCCAGAGUGAGGGUGAGGCGUUCGGAGAGCAUGGCUGUCAGAACGGUCUCGUCUCCUUUCGGAACAAGCAGCACACGUCAAACACACCAGGAUACGUUGCCAUCAGAACGUCACAGAGGCCUUCAGAGGCGCAGCAGCAGGUCACCAGGACCCUGCUGAGAGGACCAGGCCUCCCCCAGAGGGCGCGGGAGGGGGCGGCUGCAUCCUCGUGUGAAGAGAGCGCAGUCCGGACUCACUGGUCAAGCAGACGCACGUCUCGGGUUGACAGGCAGUGAGUCAGGCUUUCAGUUCAAGCCGAGUCAGUUUAGAAGCCGAACAGUCGCCCCUUAGCCCUCGCUGUGUGACGCUCUCCCGUGCGCACUUAGCACAGACCCGGCCCCGUCUACUGGCUUUCCAAUCAUUCACGCUUUCGAUCCUCACUCCGUCCAAGGAGGACAGUGG
rnacentral:lncRNA from 1 species